rnacentral:lncRNA from 15 species
GUCUGCUGCCAGUAACACCACCUGAAACAUUUCAUAUUCUUCACAACAUGUAGCACCCAAGAAAGCUAUCUUCAUUUUUUUAUCUUUUGCAGAUGCUCCGAGGGUUCCCUCUGUGUCAGUGAGUCCCUCUGGUGAGAUAGUGGAGGGCAGUUCAGUGAAUCUGACCUGUAGCAGUGAUGCUAACCCAGCAGCUAAUUAUACCUGGUACAAGGAGAAUGAAGACUUACCAAAAGCAUCAGGACAGAUCUUCACCAUCACUGACUUCAGACCUGAACACAGUGGGAAUUAUUACUGUGAAGCCCAGAACAGAAGAGGACGCCAUAACUCCACCUUACAUCUGAAUAUUUUAACAGUUUUCCCAGGAUUAUGGAAAUUAGCCGUCAUUGGACCAACUCCUGCUAUUUUCCUGGGUAUCAUAUGGCUCACUAUCUUUGUACUGAUUAAAAAAAAGAGAGCAUCCAAGAAAUCAUUUGAUCCUGGAGAUAGACCAGACAGCAGGGAACAGUAUCCAUUCAAUCAGUCGGAGGAGCAGGAUGACCUUCACUAUGCCAGCGUCCACUUCUCCAACAACCAGGCAGAUCCUGUGUAUGCCAACAUCAGACCAGCUGGACCCCGCAGACACAAAGAGGAAGAAGAAGAGGUUGUUGAGUACGCUGCCGUCAAAUUUAACCGCGCCAUUACUGACCCCAGGUCUAGAGUUCCACAAACUGUGGAGGAUCCAGCUGCACUGUACAGUACAGUCAUCAAAACAUAAAUACAACAGGAAUCUAUAGUCUGUUGAUUUAGGGGAUUCCCUAACUUUCCUCACUCUCCAUGUGUCGUUGGAAUCGGAAAUGUCUCAACUAUUGGAUGGAUGGUCAUAAAGUUUGGUAUAGACAUUCAUAUCCCGCACAGGAUAACUUGACUUUGAUGAUCCCUGAACUUUUUCAUUAGCGUUAGCAAAUGCUUACACGUUAAUAUAACAUGGUCAAUGUAACAGAUGUGUUGUGUAAAUAGGAUUUAAACCAUUUUAGGGCAGUGUCCCUGAUGCUGAGCCACUUUUCAAGGCAAUCCAAAAGGAAAGAGUGAUCAACAGUGUCAAAAAUGUAACUACCACCAGCAUAAACUGUAAGUCAAAGGUUGUUUCUUACAUUGAUAAGAACAUAUUUGAUGCUAUGACACGCAUGGAAACAUGCAAUCAUUGGGGUGGCUUCAGUGUAUUGGAAUUCUUUCGUUACUUGUUAUAAAUGUAUUUUGCACUGAGAUAAGACGUGCAGUUGAACUAGAAUAGCUAUGUCUGUGUGACCAUAAUUCAUGCACAUGAAUGUCAAUGAGUAGGGCCUCGCUCUUCAAGUUCACACAAGUCCUCACACCCCGCCCAGCAACAACUCUGAGACGUCACAUCAGGCACUGAAGAGUACAGUCCUUGCUGCAAGGAUUGACAGAAUAUUCUUUACUAGAUACUGAAUAGAUACUGAAUUAUACCUGCAUUUACAGAAAGGAACACCACAAAACUCUCUCUCAUUCUGUCUCAUAUAGAUUACAUUAUGAAGUUGAUAUAUAGUCUGCAAAAUAACAGACAGGUUCUUUUCUUGGUCAUUUACUGUAUUCACAAUGCAUAGUAAUAA